GCAUCAUUUUUGAUAUCCCCAGUUGCCUGUGGAGAAGAUGAUGUUUGACCUUCUUGAACCGCUGCAGUCCGUGUGGUGAAGGUGCUCCCACAAUGCUGUUAGUGAAAGACAAUGAAGGAUUGGCACCGAUAAAAGUGUCCUUCAACUAGCCUGGUUCCAAAAUCUCAUUCGAGAAAUGACAAGAAAACACACUGAAUUUGCUCUAUGUCUUGACUUCAAACGAACAGGAUACAAGAUUUACUAAUUGAAUUUAAAUUCCACCAGCUGCUGUGGUGGGAUUUGAACCUGUGACCUCAGAGCAUGAGCCUGGGCCUCUGGAUUACUCGUAUGGAUGUCCAGGCUUUAGAAAGACAGCUCAUCCUGAAAACAGCCC